UUUGAACAAUAAAAGUUAAAUAUGAGAUAUUUAGAAGGACCAAAAACAUAUUUAACACUAUUUUUUAUAACUACAUAUAUUUUUUAUAUUUUUUAAUAUAUUAAUAUGACUCUUUAUAUUACUCUACCCGUGCGAAUGCAAGCAAAAUAGACAUGUUUGAUGGGUCAAAUCUGUUUCGUCAGCGGUAACGAUUUAUGUCAUCGACGAACAUGUAUCUAUUGAUUCCAUCAAGAAGAUUGUAGUUUAUUAUCCGUCUAUCAAUUAUAAAUAUG
rnacentral:lncRNA from 1 species